AGUGCAAUUGCUGGAUCAUAUGGUAAGAGUAUGUUUAGUUUUGUAAGAAAGCAUCAAACUGCUUUCUAAAGUAGCUUUAUCAUUUUGCAUUCCCACCAGCAAU
rnacentral:pre_miRNA from 1 species